ACAUAGCUUUGCAGAAGUUUCAGAAGUUUAUAUGACAAAGAAAGUCAUUAUUCAUCAGGAUUCAGAAGAGUUAAAAAUCCGUAUUUCACCCUCAUAUGAAAAAAUUGCGCGUGAUUUGGAAAAUCAGCUUGCCAACCUGGAUGGAGAUUAUGAGAAACUUGCAACAACAAUUUCCAAACAAGGAGAGGAAUGGCACAGAGAAAUCGACAUCGUUAUCAACAAAAUGAAAACCGAAAUUUGUGAGAUAAAAGGAAAACACAAAGACAUUUUACAAAAACACUUGGAUGAAGUCAAACAAAUACAGUCUCUCAUCAAGCAAACCCUACUGGCCUUAAAAGAAAUUGAGAAAUCCGCUGAAGUAUCUGCUACCAUUGAAUACAUCUCUAAGAUCAGAGAGUUCAGUAAGCCUCCACUGAAGGUUCAGAUAUCAAUACCAAAAUUUAUUUCAAAACCAAUAGAUCGUGAGAAGCUGUAUAGUUUGUUUGGACAGAUCAUCCCAUUAUCUACGGCUACAGAAGAAAAUGACUUGUCACUUGGCCAACACAAUACUUCAGUCAAGAGAACCACUGGAUGAACCAGAGCUUGUUGCCACAAUACAGACUGGUAAUAUAUAUCAACGCAGUGUUACAUGCAUGAAUGAAGACAAGAUAUGGACGUUUAAAUUGACAAAUGAUAUUAAGUGUUUUAAUAGUAAAGGAUCAAUAAUCGAAACAGUCAAGACAAAAUUAGGAGAAGAUAUUACAGAUAUAGCUGUAGACAAUGAUGGGGAAUUAUUGUACUCUGAUAGGAAAACAAUGACGGUGAAAAAAGUGAAUGGCCAGACAGAGGAGUUGAUCAGAUUACAUGGAUGGACGCCUAAUCAGCUGUGUGUCACCUCUACUGGUGAUCUCCUGGUAACAAUGUACAGUAAUGAUAGAACUCAAUCCAAAGUUGUCCGUUACUCAGGAUCUACAGAGAAACAGACAAUUCAAUUCGAUGGUAAGCCUUUGUACUCAGGAAAUGGUGCAAUGAAAUACAUCGCUGGGAACAGAAACCAUGACAUCUGUGUAGCUGACUGGUAUGCUAGUGCUGUAGUGGUGGUUAAUCAGGACGGUAAACUCAGAUGGAGAUACACCGGUCAUCACUCAGUUACCAAGAACAAACCAUUUAAACCCUACGGCAUCACAACAGACAGUCAGAGUCGUAUCCUGAUAGCCGACUUUGACAAGCAUUGUAUCCACAUUCUGGAUCAGAAUGGAAAGUUUCUCCGUUACAUUAAAAACUGUGAUCUAAAGAAUCCUUUUGGAGUAUGUGUGGACAAUGAUGACAAUCUGUUUGUGUGCGAGCAUUACAGUGGCAAUGUGAAGAAAAUCCAAUAUCUAAAAUAGAAACUUAUUAUGUUAAAACAGAAAUGGAAAUUAUUUUUUUCUUCAAGACUGACAUUUUCAAUGUGUAUUAUUAUUGAAAUAUUUCAUAUAAUACAUGAAAUUCUUUACUUGUUUAUUUA
rnacentral:sRNA from 1 species